GAGGCUGUAAGCCAGCUGUCUGGAGUACUGGAACUCUCCAACUGAGUCAGCUCCUGUUUACAUCCAGGCUGGUCCUACACCCUGCUCCACCUCUGGCUAGCCCCAGUCCAACUUCAGCCCUUCCUUCAGCAGGGGGUUACUGGUGUUUUGGAAAAUCAAUCGACAUCACACUAGACUGAAAAUAUCUCAAAAUAUCGCUUGCAACUUCCUCCUGCUCCGGGAGGCCCCCACCCAGGACAGCAGCAGCCUUUCCCUGGCUGACGACUUUCUAGAAAUGUUCUUCUAUCCCCGGACACAAGGAAUUUCAAGUUCAUUCCUUCAGUGGUAUUGGAGCCUACUUCAUGGAGAUUACAGCCUAUUGUUAAGACUAAGACAUCCAACGCCAUGGACUGAGAAACCACUGCAUUCUCGAACUUUCCACCAAAAGACAACCAUUGUUGGAAAAGUUAGACCACGGCCUAUGUACCAGAAGAGGGCAUCAGAUGCCAUUACAAUGGUCAUCAUGUGGUUGCUGGAAAUUGAACUCAGGACCUCUGGAAGAGCAGUCAGUGCUCUUAACUGAUGAGCCAUCUCUCCAGCCUAGGAUGGAUAUUUGAAAGGAUCUGGACCAGGCUUUCCCAUUUGCUGAUACCUACAGUCACUGACGCUCUCCUGGGAGCUUGGAGAUCACUGAAAGCCCACGGUGUGAACUGUCUACAAUGCACAUGAGUCUCCUGAGUCACCAGGUGUGAGAGGCAAUAGAUUUGGGGACUCUGUAUGUAAAAAUUUUGACAAUUUGUAAAUAAUAAUAAUAAACAAGGAAAAAUGAUAAGACUGACAGGUUGCACCUAGCAUCUCUAGAUAAGUAAGGAAUGAGAUCCGAAAUAAAAUUAGCCAGCUUCUAGCCUCUCAGACUAUGGUGAAGGACAGCAAUGAACUCAGCAAUAAAACACACCGGCUCUAGAUGCACAGAAACAGUCUAAAGGUUUCUAUGUGUGCCUGGGAAGAGAAUUUUCUUUCCAGCAGCUAUAAAGCUCAAGUUGCAAAAAAAUCAAACUGAAGCCUGCAUGAUAAGACAAAUUAAUGAAUUGCAAUGAAUAUUCACAUCCCAGCCUUAGAGAGUGUAUGCAGUUAACGACAAGGCCAUACUGAUGAAGGGUGGAACCCUAAGACACAAGAAGUUGUACGGGAGGACCCGGAUGAGGCUUCGAACUUUGAACCCUCAGAUUCUCAAGGGUCUAGCUCACCUGAGGAAGAAAUCUCUCUACCCUUAGCAGAAGAUGCACCCAUAUUCACAAUGCCUGAAUAUUACCUGUCCCACCUUUGCCUGAGGAAAUUAAUUCUUCACCGUCUGCUAAACCAGCAGUGACUUUCCCUGAAGGAGAUGCUAGACAGGAGACUCCUGAUGUUCCUCAGGGCCCAUCAGUAGUUGCCUCUAGACCUUUAACCAACACACACACACACACACACACACACACACACACACACAGAGUUUAUAUAUCACAUACUGUUUUUUAAAAAGUAUCAAAAGUAUGAGUAGUUGGUUAAAGAAUUUUCAAAAGAUGACCUAUGGAAAAGGAACUGGAUAUUCCACUUGACUUGGGUGAUGAAGGGAUUUUAAGGUUUAGGAAAAUUGCAAUACUAGAUACACUGGGUGAGUGUAUACUCGAGUGUGCUUUACACUGUGUAAAACCCAGUCAUCCACAAUGGGAAGGCCCAGGUUGUAGUCUCCCCUCCCCCAGCCUGAAACCUGCUUGCUCAGGGGUGGAGCUUCCUGCUCAUUCGUUCUGCCACGCCCACUGCUGGAACCUGCGGAGCCACACCCGUGCACCUUUCUACUGGACCAGAGAUUAUUCGGCGGGAAUCGGGUCCCCUCCCCCUUCCUUCAUAACUAGUGUCGCAACAAUAAAAUUUGAGCCUUGAUCAGAG